UACGGAGGGGGCUAGCGUUGCUCGGAAUUACUGGGCGUAAAGCGCACGUAGGCGGAUAUUUAAGUCGGGGGUGAAAUCCCGGGGCUCAACCCCGGAACUGCCUUCGAUACUGGGUAUCUUGAGUUCGGAAGAGGUGAGUGGAAUUGCGAGUGUAGAGGUGAAAUUCGUAGAUAUUCGCAGGAACACCAGUGGCGAAGGCGGCUCACUGGUCCGAUACUGACGCUGAGGUGCGAAAGCGUGGGGAGCAAACAGG
rnacentral:rRNA from 1 species